GACGAACGCUGGCGGCGUGCUUAACACAUGCAAGUCGAACGGUGAAGCGCUUGCCUUUUUGGUGGGUGUGGAUGAGUGGCGAACGGGUGAGUAACACGUGAGUAACCUGCCCUCUUCUUCUGGAUAACCUCAUGAAAGUGGGGCUAAUACGGGGUAUUCCGGGUCUGUCGCAUGGCGGGUUUGGGAAAGAUUGCGCCUUUGGGUGUUUUCGGUGGGGGAUGGGCUCGCGGCCUAUCAGCUUGUUGGUGGGGUGAUGGCCUACCAAGGCGGUGACGGGUAGCCGGCCUGAGAGGGUGGACGGCCACACUGGGACUGAGACACGGCCCAGACUCCUGCGGGAGGCAGCAGUGGGGAAUAUUGCACAAUGGGCGCAAGCCUGAUGCAGCGACGCCGCGUGAGGGAGGGAGGCCUUCGGGUUGUGAACCUCUUUCGCCAGUGAAGCAGGCCUGCUCCUGUGUGGGUGGGUUGACGGUAGCUGGAUAAGAAGCGCCGGCUAACUACGUG
rnacentral:rRNA from 1 species